UGGCUGUAGCUAAAUGAAAUAGAAGUUUACUGGCCGGUUGUUGUGAUAUCAGUCAACAAAUCUGCUUACCGAACUUCUUACAUUU